rnacentral:lncRNA from 1 species
ACACGAGCCACAAGCCACGACAGUUAUGGAGCUCAGAGGACAACCUUGGGAAGUCAGUUCUCUCUUCCAAUCGUACAUGUCAGGCCUGGAUGGCGAAUGCUCAUGCCGCCUCACUCUCCACAGUUCUGGGGUACUGUGUCUGGCCACAGGAUGGCUCUGCCUGGACUGAACUUCUCCCCUAAAGCCUUCAAAGCUGGGAAUUCCCACAGGAAAGGGACAAGCGCCGGGACAAGGAGCGCGGCUUCACAGGAUCCCAAUGGAGGAGCUAGAGAAAGGACUGAAGGAGCUGAAGGGGUCUGCGACCCCAUAGGAAGAACAGCAUUAUGAACUAACCAGAGUUCCCAGGGUCUAAACCACCAAGGACUACACAUGGAGGGAUCCAUCGCUCUAGCCGCAUGUGUAGCAGAGGAUGGCCUUGCCGGGCAUCAGUGGGAGAAGAGGCCCUUGGUCCUGUGAAGGCUAGAUGCCCCAGAGGGGAAUGCGAGGGCAGGGAGGCCAGAGUAGGUGGGUGGGUGGAGGCAUACCCUCAUAGAAGCAGGAGGAGGGGGAAUAGGAUAAGGGGUUUCUGGGCAGAUGGGCCCCUAAGUCCCUCCGUUUCCCAUGUAGGAUGCUCAUGAUUUGUUCCCUGGACCGUGUAUUAGGAGAGCUGCUACGGUAGCUACCAGAAGCGCCUUUCUCAUCUUAGCAUCUGGAAAUCUCACUUAGAGAGCAUUUCAGACCUUGUGUGCCAGGAAGAAAAGCCUUUUAAAUUUAGUGACUGGAAUAUGUUAUUUUUAAAAACACAUCUACUGAGAAGGAACCACUUAGGACUUGAAGUUUCUAAUGUUUGUCAAAAUCCGAGACCUAGAAAAUUUAGUUUCUAGAAUUGUUAAGUUUUGGAUUAUGUUACUAAAACAGUGGUUGUGAAAUCAAAUUUAUGACCCGGACUAACAAAAGCAUCUUUUAGUUACCAAAAUUAUGUUCUGUUACGUGUUUAAAUCUCAUCAAAGUUCUCAAAGUCCACUAAAAUAAUUUGUUCAUGAUGUCAGGCUUAAGAAGAAAAUCAGGGCGAAUGAUCAGCAGUCUGAGCACUGACUUCUCAAGCAUGAGAACCUGUGCUGGGAUCCCCAGAAACAGGGGAGUGGCAGCCUGCCUUGUAAUUCCAGCCUCAGAAAGCAGAUUCCUGGAGCAAGCCAGCCAGCAAGACUAGCCACAUCGAUUCCGGAUAUGAUUUACUAAGAAUCGCUGCUCAAACCUUCAACCUACCAGGAGACUCUGUUAAUUCAAGAUGAAGUUCAAAACUCCUUGAGUCCCUCCUCCCAAAAUCAAGAAUCCAAUGAGCAACGACAACGUCACAAAUGCAAAAUGAAGAGACCUCAUUGGAAAAUAACUCACAGCAUGCUGCUCCAUCAAGGUCCUGACUCUUCCUACUCCCCAAAUUCAUCAUAAACAGGAGCCACAUUGAAUUAGGCCCUCACACUCAUAAAUUCUUUUAAUGUAAUUGCCCCUUUGCAAGUCUUACCUCCAAAUACAUUAUUAAACACCUUAGUAAAUAUGCCAAAGCUAUAGGGGUGUUAGGACGUCAACAUGUGGCUUAAGGAGGACACAGUUCAACCCAUCAUAGAUGCAUUACAGACCUCCAUUGUUCCAGCUUUUUGCUGUUACAACAAUGCUGCCAUAAAUACUCUCAUAUGUGCAUCUUGCACAUGUGUGUGAGUGUGUCAGUAGAAUUAACUUCUCGAAGUAGAACUGCUGGGUCGAAGGAAUGCAUUCAUCUGACUAUUGUUACAUUGUCCCCCAAAUUUCUGUGUGAUUGGUACUUCCUCUAGCGUGAAUGAGUGCUGUCAUUUCCCAUCAUACACAGCACAUGGCCUGCAUCAGAUCUGUCCAAUUUGCCAUUCUGCCAGUGUUAAGUUGUCUCAUUUUGAUCUGCUUAUUUUAACUCGAGGUGGAGUUUAUUCUGUGCAUAUUCUGUCAAAUAAAAUGGCAUAUGGUGUGAUGAGAUGCCACAGUGAUUCUAGAUAUUAAGUUAAUGAAUCCAAAACCAUUAAGUGUCUGUAAUGGUUAACCUUGCCAAGCUGACAGGAUUUAGAAUUUCUCAGGAGACAAAUCUCUGAGCAUACAUAUGACGAUGUUUCCAGAGAGUAUCAACCAAGAGGGGAAGACCUACCCCAAAUGUGGGUGGUAUCAUCCUGUAGGCUGGAGUUCUGGACAGAAGACAGAAGAGAAAUGAGGAGUCUGCCAGCAGCCAUCUCUCUCUGGUACCAGACUGUGAAUGUACUGCAACCAACUUAGGAGCCUCAAGCCCCUGUCACCAUGCGCUCCCCUCCAUGAGGGACUAUACCCUUAAACUGUAAGCCAAAAUACCAAACCGGCAUCCUUACUGAAGUUUACAGGCAGGAUAGAACCAUGAUUCCAGGACAGCCCAAUGAAGCAGAGCCUGUUCUACAUAAAGGGUGUUCUAAGUAGUACUUGCUGAGUGAAACUGGUCACUGGGCAACCCAUUCGUCUUCAGUCCGUGCGGUAGAAACCCCUAACUAUCUGUGCCUGGCUGAAUGGCUUCAUUCCUGACUUUAGUAACUUUAAAUUAAUUAAGGAUUUUCCUUCUGCUGACUUUCCUCCAGUUGAUAUGUUCGCCAUGACUUGACCUGAUAUUUACAAACUACACUGAAAGGAACAGUUGUUUUUCAUUUGGAGCUUCUCUGGGAAAGUUUGGCAAAUAAGUCAAAUUUAAUUUUUAGUCUCUGACGAGAAUAAACCUCACUGUUUUUGCAUACUACCACAUUUCUAGAAACUGUCAAACCGGGCCCCACAAGCAGGAGCUGGUAUCAGAAACAGACGCAUCUAGAGAACAAAGAAAGUUUCAAGUAAAUAGACAAGAGGCUGGAAGGACAGGAGUACAUUUGCUAUAGGACAUGCAAUUUUUUAAGGGAAAAUGGCCUCCGGGUCUUUGGUGUGAGUACUUAUUCAGAUGAGGACCCCCACAGUGGGGAAGAAGGUUCUUCCAUAUCUAAGAACUGUGUUUCCUGGGAGCCUUCUUAUAGCAGCGGCAAUAUCUGUGAACGGUAAUGGAUUCUGUUGGCCACAUGUACAUCUGAAACGCACAUUAAGGUUUCCGUGCCUGGGGAUUUCAUCAUGUUUUUGGCAGGGGUCUGUACACAUAAGGAGACCUUUUGUCAAACCACAUAACUCUGGCUUGUUUAUGAGCUCUAAAAUUAAAUUAUCUUGCAUAAAUGCUCUGAAGGUAAUCUUCAUAUUAGUGUCAACAGUCCACAGUGCCACCACAAAAGACACAGUCACAAUUCAUUCUGUGACACUGGGCAGCCCUUCAGCUUCCUUGGUGGUACAAUGUGCUGUUUCAUGGGAGUUUUGUGACCUACAGACUCUCACAAGUCCGGGGAAGGGAAAUUGUAGCUGGAAACACUGCUGCCAAAUCUGUAGCAAAAGCAGUCACUAUGGAACAAUGGAAAUGCAUGAAUGUAAAAGAACAAAACUCUACUUCAGAGCCUACAAACAUUUUUCUGUGUGGGACCAAAUAGUAAACAUUUUACAUUUUCCAAGCUAUACAGUCUAGGUUUAUGGGCAGCUACUAAAUUUUGCUAUUAUGCCAUAUGAAAAAUCACCAUAGACAAUAAAUAAAUGGAGAGCCACUGGC